GAGUGUGUAACAACUCACUUGCCGAAUGAAUUAGCCCUGAAAAUGGAUGGCGCUGAAGCGGGCGGCCGACACCGCGCCGUGUGACCGAGCUUUGUGUCACAUGAGUAGGAGGGCGUGGCGGGCGUGGCGAAGCGUGGGCGCGAGCCUGCGUGGAACGGUCCGCUAGUGCAGAUCUUGGUGGUAGUAGCAAGUAUUCAAGCGAGAACCUUGAAGGGCGAAGCGGGGAAGGGUUCCACGCGAACAUUGAUUGGGCGUGGGUGAGUCGUUCCUAAGCCGAGUGGCAAUUGCUAAGUAGCGGCGAAAGGGAAGCGGGUUGAAAUUCCCGCACACGGAUGUGGAGCGCGGCGACGCGAAAUGGGGGCGAACACGCUGGCGAUGGCGCUGGGCAGAGUUGUCUUUUCUGUUUGACCGAGUGUGCGGGCGGUGUGGAAUCCGCUUGUCGGGAGAAACACGCGCGCACGGGCAGAGCGCCGGGGCUUUUCCGGCGUCCAGCUCGCCAUCGACGGCCCUUGAAACUUUGCCUGCUGAGAAAUAUAAUUAAAAAUCCACGCCGUGGCGUACCGAUCACCGCAUCAGGUCCCCGAGGUGAACAGCCUCUGCUCGAUAUGAAAAAUGCAGGUAAGGGAAGUCGGCAAAUUGGACCCGUAACUUUGGGAAAAGGGUUGGCUCUAGUGCUGCGUGGGAGUGGUUGUCUGUGUUUGGGGGCGGAGGGAGGGCGGCUUGGCGCGGCGGCCCCUGUUAUUUUUGUGGGGGAAGCUGUUCUGGGCUGCUCACUCACUGUUUGCAUUACGGACGACGCCCACAGCAUGCAGCAGACUAGAACUGCAACGGGCAAAGGGAAUCCGACUGUUUAAUUAAAACAAAGCAUUGAGAAGGCCGUGGGCGG
rnacentral:rRNA from 1 species